AAGUCGUAACAAGGUUUCCGUAGGUGAACCUGCGGAAGGAUCAUUAAUCCAGGCGCGAACCCUCGGGCGAGCGCCGCCUUUACACCCACCCUUUGCCUAUGUGUACCCCCAUCGCUUCCUCGGCAGGCCCGCCUGCCGCCAGGAACCAACCAAACCCUUUGCAUGUUACAUGAAAACUUCUGAUACCAACCUAAAAUUAUUACAACUUUUAACAAUGGAUCUCUUGGUUCUG
rnacentral:misc_RNA from 1 species